ACGUUUAUAAUUAUACUUAGCUAUUUAACAAACACUCACUGACCUAAGAGAAAUAUCCCCUGUAGGUGGAUGUGAGGAUGGGGUGCAGGGAGCUGUUGGCCGUGGGUAGGGGCAGGAUGAGGGAUAGGAACUGUGAGCGGGUCUCCUGGUGCCCCAAAGCGGAUACACACAUCGCAAAAGAAACCUCUGGACCCUCUCCACCCACCAGCACUUCCUGUAACGUCUUUCUCACCAAGGUUUUACUAUUUCGGCAGCAGCCACUGUAUGAGUCAUCUUCAACAGUAAGGGCCUCCUGACUACGGCAUUGUCUCGAGCAGAGGGGGCACUCUGUCGCCGCCCUCAUGGCAUGGUACUGCCAGUGCAGUUGGAGCUUCUCCUGAGUGGGGAACGCUAGGCUGCACCUGCUGCAACGGAAACGGGACCUGGACAAAUUCCCUACAGUUGGACAUGGACAAAUACUGUUAUGAACGCAACUGCUUUGCAUGAGGACCGCGCAUACAGCCUACAACACCAGUCUCAAGUGGACCGCACCGUACCACACUCCGAUUCAGCGAAACCAAGAUAGAUCGCGUUCAGUAUCCAGUAACAGGUGACUCAAUGCACAAGCAGAUUAACAAAAGCUCGAUUUGUGCGAUUUACAGGCUGCACUAACCAAACACCCCUUCCUCUCCAGCGCUGGGUUGCUUCCUCCCGUGCCUUUAAUAUCGUAAACAAAUGGAAGACUUACAUUUC